rnacentral:rRNA from 1 species
AGAACGAACGCUGGCGGCAUGCCUAACACAUGCAAGUCGAACGAGACCUUCGGGUCUAGUGGCGCACGGGUGCGUAACGCGUGGGAAUCUGCCCUUAGGUACGGAAUAACAGUGAGAAAUUACUGCUAAUACCGUAUGAUGUCUUCGGACCAAAGAUUUAUCGCCUAGGGAUGAGCCCGCGUAGGAUUAGCUAGUUGGUGGGGUAAAGCCUACCAAGGCUACGAUCCUUAGCUGGUCUGAGAGGAUGAUCAGCCACACUGGGACUGAGACACGGCCCAGACUCCUACGGGAGGCAGCAGUGGGGAAUAUUGGACAAUGGGCGAAAGCCUGAUCCAGCAAUGCCGCGUGAGUGAAGAAGGCCUUCGGGUUGUAAAGCUCUUUUACCCGGGAAGAUAAUGACUGUACCGGGAGAAUAAGCCCCGGCUAACUCCGCGCCAGCAGCCGC